ensembl:lncRNA
CCUGGCUGCCCCGGGGCUCCUCCCGCCGCCGGGAGCGAGCUGUGCCUCGGACGGCGCGUGGGGGCCGGGCAGCGCGGGAAUUCCCCGAGAGCCCCUCUCCUCACGGCAACUUUUAUUUACGCACGGUACCAAAACAUCAGCGGUGACGCGAGAUCCUUAUAUAACCGUGCCGAGGGAGGGCUGUCUGCCGGAACAUCGCUCUCUUGGCACCGCACGCUCUGCGUUCCACAUUUCUGCCGUCUGGAAAAAUCCUCGUGCGACCAUCCGGCGGGGCGCCGCGCAGGGCUGAGCCCGCGGCUGGGCGCUGGGUGCGCCGCCGCUGAGCUGAGGCGCGGUAUCAACCGCCCGCCGCGGCGCCACAGCUCCGGCCAUCCCAGCGCGCCCUCGGCACGGCUGCCUGUGGGCGUCUCAUCUCAGUGCUGGGCUUUGACAGCCUGUCCUCCGUGCCUCUGCGUGGCUCCGUGGAAAGGAGAAAGGGCCUUGAGUUAAACGGAGGUGCUUCGCCGUGAAGAUGCCUCCGCACAGCACGUAGAGCUUACAGACGUGGUGGUCCCACAGAGAGAGCCGACGGAGGGACGCUGUGGCUGGAGCAAGCUCCCACACUGCGGCAGACCCCAUUUUUACCUGCUCCUCCCAGCUCAGCUCUCCUUUGUCGCUGGUGGCAAAGCCGUGAAGCUGUGAUGUCCUGCAGGCCUGUCCCACCGCCAGGAAUGGUUGCCCUCAGUUGUGAGUGGGAUGCAGGAGGUUCUCCUCUAUGACUUGCGUUCUAGCACUCAGCAGAGCUCAGAAAAGCAAGAAAACAACCUUCCUGGUUAAUCUUUCUUUGUGCAACGCUACGGUUAUCUGCAGAGGGUCUCUUCCAAAAAGUCACAUAUAAUAAUAGCAUUGUUUUCCAGAACAAUCCUUUAUUAAUCCAAUAAAACAAGAGUGUGCUUUGCUUUGGCAGAGAACUGCAUAAACAUGACAGCACUCAAAACCAGUUGUGUUUCUGAGUGGAAUGCUUUAUUCCAGCAAGGAAUCUGUUAUUUGGCUACAGUCCCACGGAGGAGUUCAAACAAUUGAAAUGUCAUUACCGUGACAGGAUGAUGGCCAAGAAGUGAUGAUGUACUCUUCUGACAUUACAGACUCAGAUUGUCCCUCUGGCACAUGAAGCACAGCACAACAUGUUGGGCACAGGAGCUGGAGAGAGAAGAGACCAAAAUAAGUUUUAACCAUUUUGGCACAUGGCUCUGAUUUGAGGCAGGAGCCACAGUUCAGAAUGGCUUCUCUGAGAUCCAGGAACGUCCUGUAGGGUCUUCCUUUCACUGGCAUUGCAAGAACCUGACACUGAAACAGCUCUUGCAUCAUAUUCAGACAAAGAAGAAUCUUAUGUACAAACCGAUCAGUCAUCUCUUCUGGGUAACGCUGAAUUUUUGCAGAUACAGCUCUUAAAAUGAGUGGUGUUCAAAGCUAUCACAGAAUGUUUCAAUCUCAAGCCCUCGGAUGUUAAUUGGAAGAAGAAAGCAAGCUAUUUGCACUACUGUAAUAAGCUGCGGUGAUUUUGUUAUGUUAGACGGGAGUGUUAAUGAUGAGCCACAAAUGCAAGUUUUUACAAAGCCUCUGAGAAUUAAGCACUACGUCCUAUAUUCCUCUUCCUUGCUGUUCCAGUGAAAAGCAUACGUGUGGAAGAACAAAUGAAAAUGUUGUCAUGGUGAUCAGAGCAGUUACCGAGUCAUUUACCGUGUAGGAAGGAUUCCCUAAAGAACCUUAUUAAGCAUUCUGUUGCUCCUUUUUAACAAAUGUUUUCAGAAAGCCGUUUUAAUUUCACUGUCGAAGUAAGCCAAAGCCUGUUUCUCUACCCUCCAAAAUAAAGCUGAGCAUGCAAGCAUCAAUAAAUAUUGUUGUUAGAAGUUAGGAAUGGGAGCCAAGACAGAGCCUAAAUAAAAAGACCUACUUGUGACGUUUGAAUGUUUUUCAGAACAGUUAUUGUGAAACAACUCCGUGC